UGGGGAAUUUUGCACAAUGGGGGAAACCCUGAUGCAGCGACGCCGCGUGAUUUAGAAGGCCUUCGGGUUGUAAAAAUCUUUUCUAUGGGAAGAAAAUGACAGUACCAUAGGAAUAAGGACCGGCUAAUUACGUGCCAGCAGCCGCGGUAAUACGUAAGGUCCGAGCGUUGUCCGGAAUCAUUGGGCGUAAAGGGUACGUAGGCGGGUAAGCAAGUUAGAAGUGAAAUCCUAUAGCUCAACUAUAGUAAGCUUUUAAAACUGCUCAUCUUGAGGUAUGGAAGGGAAAGUGGAAUUCCUAGUGUAGCGGUGAAAUGCGCAGAUAUUAGGAGGAAUACCGGUGGCGUAGGCGACUUUCUGGCCAUAACCUGACGCUGAGGUACGAAAGCGUGGGUAGCAAACAGG
rnacentral:rRNA from 1 species